ACACUGUAAACCCUAAUGCUGUAACUAAUUGAUUGAACUGAGUUGUAUUAACUUAAAUAAUUACAAUUAGUUUAUAUUAAUUAACCUUUAUGAGUAUUUAGAACUUUUUCUUAUUUAUGAGUUUGUAAAAAUUAAACCUUUCAAGUAAGAUGGAAAAUUUUGCUGGUUUAAUUUAAACAAAAUGUCUCUUUAAAGUUUUAUUAACUCAAAAUCUUUCAGCCUUGUGAUUUUGCGUAUGACGUCAUCCAGGUUCACGUCAACUGUCUUGCCCGCGCUUAUUCCUCGUUCGUUUUUUUCAAGAUGGCGGAUCGGCCUCGCUUCACACUACAGUAAGUAAAAUAUUGAAAUAUACAAAUCCAAUGAAUCUUAAGCAAGUGUUUUAAUCCAUAUAAUCACAGUAACAUUUAAAAGUAAUGUAGAUGCGUUUAGAUGUGUUGCAUUACAGAGUACGCGUUUAGCCCUGUUUAAAUCUUGAGGCGAGGAAGCUCCUCAUCCCGCGCUGUAGCUUGUUGGUCAAUAAGAAACUUUUAACGUUAGUUCAGUGUUGGGAGCUGUUACUGACCAGCACAAUGUUUAUAAAUUCAGGUAAAAUUGAAAUUAAAACAUUUAUGCCGCACUUAUUUUUAAAACUGCGUUAUCCACAACAUGGAGUUUUAUUUUGAAAUACUUCGUUUGUGCGGCUUCUCAGCUGAAAGGUGUAAUAUUAUUUAUAUAAUAUUAAUUUCAAUGGCGGAUCGGACUCGUUACACGCUGUUCAGUAACGUUAGGUAGUUAAUGUAUAACUAGGGAUGUUCAUCUCGGUUAAUUUUCCCAACCGACAACCGCCGUUCGUUAACCGAACAUUAAUCAUUAACAUUAACAUUAACCGAAUCCUGAACGUUCUAAGAUGUGGCCUCGUGAUUUUCCAAUUCCACAGUUUUCCUAUGAUGUUGAGCUAAGGCUUAGACAGGGAAAUGAUGAAUUUGAGAAGAGCGGAAAGGGUCUAAAGUUGACAAGAGACCAAAAGCAUGACAUUCUGGAGAAGCUUGGCUCAACCAUGUAUGAUUUUAAGGCGUACCCAGACGACAAACAGAUAGGAAAAGUAGCAGAGGCCCUUGUCACAAAGCAUCCUUGUUUGAAGGAGCCAGGCUCUGACACAGGUUGGAAUGGGUGGAAAACCAGUUUAAAGUUCAAGAUGGGCAACUUGAGAAACAAAAUGAGGAAAAUUGGAUGUCUUGAGGUAACUGUUAAUGCUGGGAAAAGAAGUCAAGGCCAUCCUGAGAAUGAACCAUCACAUUCUAAAAUCAAGAAACCAAGACGUUCUGAGGUUAAUUAUUUGCCAAACUUUCCUCAAGGUGAGGAUGAAGCAUCUCUUGAAACAGUUAGACAGGAAAUUGCUGUUGAAGUCCAGAAGACAGAAAAAAAUACUAGUCUCAUCCACAAGAACAUGGAGAAAACUUUUGCUCUGCGACGACAGAACAUUGUUAGCGGAAGCCCAUCUGAAUGAGUUUCUGAAUCUCUGGCCUGCACUGCGUAUAACAUCUGAGCUGUUUGCAGAGUACCAACGUGUUACAAAUGAGAAUUUGCCCAACAAAUUCUAUGCACAACUGGACUACCUCCUACCUUGUUUGAUGACCAUUUUAAGGCAAAAAGCAUCCAAGACAGGCAAGACAGCAGAUGCCCUGGCUAAUCUUUUGAAAGUUCAUGAUGAGCAGGAACUGCAUGAUGUAAAUUCACGACGGACUACCGUUAUCAGAGGUCUUCCAGUUUUGCUGCAUGACAAAGACAUAGGAUUUUUUAGGACCACCCUGAUUGAUAAUCCUGAAGUACUGACUGAGGAUGCUCCAGUGUCCCUGCUUACAGUUGUUCAUGAAAAUGCUGCUGCUCCAAUCCAUUACGAUCCAGUGAGGGUCUCAGUUGUCCUGGAGAAUGAAGUGGUCACCACCCAUAGCCAACUUCCAGAGGCCUUUCUUGUCUUGUUUGGAUUCAUGUAUGCUCUUCACUUAAAAUAUCCUAAAGGACUUGCCAAAACUUUUGAAUUUGUGCAAAAAGUUUUACUCGGCAUGGAUGACGGAAAACUGUCUCCUAGCGUGCAAACAUUAAAGAAUGAGUUGAUGUAGAGCUACUUUUUUUUUCUCGUUUAAUGAAGGCUGGCACUGGGGCAGUAACUUAAAAACAUGUCAGUACGUGUAGUUUAAACUAUACAGGAGUCACUUACCAGAAUGCACUAUUUUUAUUUCUUUUUAUGAAUGCCGCAAGACUAAGUUUUAUAUGACUUAAUGUAUGUUUUAAAAAUCAGGAUAUUUAAUUUUGUCAAACUAAAUCAUUUUUUUUGAAGCUCAUGUUUAAACAAAGUUGGUCAUGUAAAAUUCUGUUAAAAAAUAUUUUACAAAAUAAUUCUUCAAAAAUAUUUUUUUGUUACAAGUCAUACUGGGUUUUAUGCAUUACUUUUUCCUGAAUGUUUUUUUCCCCUGAGAAUUUUCACCCUUUUAAAGGGUUACUUUACAGGUGUCAUGUUGAUUUGUUAUAUCAAAUAGAACACCAUAGAAAGUAUUGUUAUUCUUUUUCAUUGUAUUAACAUUCUGGGCAUACUUUAUUCAUUUUAAAAUAGUGUUUAUUGUAAAUCUGUUACUGACAAACUGUUUUAAAGGUUUUGAGAAAUUUGUAUGUUUAUAGAAGGCAUGUUUACUGUAAACAUUCAUGUUGGUAUUACCUGUUGGACAUUUUUUGUUUAAAAAUAAAUGUUAAAAAUGG